AGUGAACGCUGGCGGUAGGCCUAACACAUGCAAGUCGAACGGCAGCACAGGAGAGCUUGCUCUCUGGGUGGCGAGUGGCGGACGGGUGAGGAAUACAUCGGAAUCUACUCUGUCGUGGGGGAUAACGUAGGGAAACUUACGCUAAUACCGCAUACGACCUACGGGUGAAAGCAGGGGAUCUUCGGACCUCGCGCGAUUGAAUGAGCCGAUGUCGGAUUAGCUAGUUGGCGGGGCAAAGGCCCACCAAGGCGACGAUCCGUAGAUGGUCUGUGUGGAAAGUUAGACACACUGGAACUGAGAAACGGUCCAACAUACUACGGGAGGCAGCAGUGGGGAAUAUUGGAAAAUGAUGGCAAGACUUAUCCAGCCAUACCGCGUGGGGGAAAAAGGCCUUCGGGUUGUAAAGCCCUUUUGUUGGGAAAGAAAUCCAGCUGGCUAAUACCCGGUUGGGAUGACGGUACCCAGAGAAUAAGUACCGGCUAACUUCGUGCCAGCCGCCGCAGUAA
rnacentral:rRNA from 1 species